rnacentral:lncRNA from 1 species
UGUCAAAAGACCCGCAGAUGCGACAAAAAGCCUGGCUGCGCUGAAAUCGCACAACCUUCCAGCGCUGAAGAGAAGCUAUGAAGUCAUUGAGAAACUCCUCCAGGGCAACCAAUCCCCACUGACCACCGAGGAAGAGGAAUCAGUCGUGGAAUCUUUGAAGGCUCUCACAACUCUGGAGGCUGACCUUGAUCCUGAAAGUGAAGAAUAUUUCCUGUCGAUCAUCUUUCAGAAAGUAUUUGCCUGGGCAAUUCAACAGGGUGUGUCCAAGGCUGUCUCACAUGGUGUGGAGGCUAUGAUUAAGAAGGGAUAAAUUAGCAGUUAUUCUAUCGACCACUGCGACACAAAUAAAAUACUUGCACACAACG